GGUCGGAGGGGAGCGGAGAGCCACGCUGGCUGUCGGCGGUGGUGCUAGAAAGAGUCAGGGAUGGGAGGAACGCCAUGGAGGGAAAGACUGAGAAGUCAACAGGGAGAGCAGAGCUUGAGGAGGGCAUGAAGGGACGCAAACAGGCCCAGGUGGAAGGACGCUGGAAAAGACAUGGCUGCUGAGGGUAGGGACAGAGUUCAGUUUGUGUUGCAGCAAGUCAUCAGGUAGGGUUUCAGUUUCCGCUGUUGAUGGACACAUUAGCUCUGUGGGAAUUUAACUGAAGAUGUGAUGCUGCUAGGCUGAGACAGUGAGAACCUGUGAGGAGUAAGGGGAACAUCACUUGGAGACUGUACACUUGGCUUCCAUAUCUUUCUCCUGCUGUACUCCACGGGAGGAAUAGAGUGUGUAAAUGACAUCCUGGAUGGACUAACCGAUGGAUAUAUCUCCUGCUUUCUGCCAUGGAUAGAUGGAUGCCUGGUGACAGGGAAGACUGCUGAAUGCCCUCAGGGACUUGAAGAGCCUGGAAGAGACAAUGGAUCGCAUGGAACUAAAAAUUUGAUAUGGAAAUCUCUGCUUCACAAACUUCUUCAGGGAAACUCUGUGGGAAGACGAAAUCACCCCCAGCAGAACAGCGUGUUUGGACACAGUUGGGAACAAUCAGUCCUGCAGGCUUUCAUUGAUCUGGAGCAGAAGUAGAACCUGUCAUGGAACUCCAUCUGAUGUGUCACCAUCCAGCUACAGAGACACUGAAUGGAUAAACUCAGAAACUCUGCACAAAAAUACCAUCUUACUAUCCAACUUCUGUCUGCUACUUCUCUUUAAAUCAUGUGUCCCAUAUCCCACAGACAGACAGCAGCCUGCCUCCUCUCCUUCAUAUGUAACUUAUGAGCACAUCAGCUUGUUGAACAAGCAACCAAACAAACACUAGAUGGCCGAUAAGCUGCAUCACAUUAAACAGCAUGUAAACACACCUGUACUUCUUCUGUUUUAGAUGCUGCUAACCACACACUGUCUGCCCAUGUUUGUUUACAUUAUAUCUGACUGCAAAGAGGGAUGACUAAAUAUGAUUUUAAAUAGACUUUGAUCAACCCAGUACAGACUGCAGUUCCUUCUCUCUCCACAACACAGAAGAAACAUGCAACUUUUUUAAAAACGCGACACUGAAUCAGUACUAUUAAAAUCAGAGCACCUCUCAUGUGUUGCUUGAUUUGUCUGAAUUACUGUCUCAAUCAUUUUGUAAUUGCAUUUUGGAUAUGUAUGUAAAGUAGAGCUGCAACAAAUAAUCAGUUUACUAUCAUCAGGGGUGUCAUGCAAUUUAAUUAUAGUGGGUCAUUUUGAAGGUUACGUAAUCAACUUUUCUGUCCUGUUUCCUGUUCAAGCACUUAAAAAACGUGCAUGGAUUUCAACCAGAUCAUGUGAACUACAAAUAUUCUAUUUCCUCACUUGGAGGAAAAAGUGUCGGAUUGUCUUUCCAGCAGCACGACACCCCUGGUUGUCAACUAUUAAAUUAAUCACCAACUAUCUGACAAUCAAUUAUUUGGUUUGAGUCAUUUUUUAAGAAAAAAAAAGUCAAAAUUCUCUGAUUUCAGCUUCUUAAAUGUGAAUAAUUUCUGGUUUCUUUGCACCUCUAUAACAGAAAAUUACCAUUUUCUUAUAUUUUAUAGACCAAACAACUAAUCGAUAAAAUAAUCAACAAUGAAAAUAAUCAUUAACCAUUAUCACUAAUGUAAACAAGCUUUGAUUAUGCCAUCGUCACUCUUAAACAUUGUAAAGUUGGUCAAGACACAAGUGCAAUGGUUUGUAUGAACCACCUGGUGGUCAAAAUUCACAAAUAGGGCCACUAUACUCAGCUCAUCAGGCGCCAUUUCAGACCCUCAUUUCCUCAACAGUGUAAUUCAGCUGCAGUAAAUCAGCACGGCAAAAAGCAUCGCACAUGAACCGAGAAAACAAUAAAAUACAAAGAGCUAUGAUGUGACAGAGCCGAUGAUGGUGGUGUCCUUCUUUCUGUUCACUUAUCAAACAAAGCCAACACACAGGCGUCGACUCUCAAAGGUCAACAUGUCCAAGACAGUGUUGUAAAUGAACCAUCUGAACGUCCCUGAAAAUCUUAAUUCUCCAUAUCAGCUGUUAAUUCAGUAAUCUAUAAAAUGCCUCAAGACUGAGAGUAAAUUCAAUAAGACUCACAAUGCCACAAAGUCUCGGCACAUGAAUCAAUAGAUGAAUAGACAGCACAUUAGAACACUGAGCAAAGUGUGCUCACGGACAAGACAUUAUUAUUUAGUCAAUGUGAAAUAUUUCUGCCCAUUCGCUGAUUUGAUUUCCACCUCAAGGACUAACUGCUAAAUUUUCAUGAUAUGUUGUACGUUUCAGAGAUACAAUGUGCUUGUCUCUGUGUGUCCAUGUGUUUCUGUGCCGGAUGCAAAAAGGCAGAAAGAGAGGAGAUUGUGAGUAAAACAGAUCAUACAAGCCACUUAGCAGCACUAUAGCCGACUGGUACAAGGGAGCGAGAGGAAAAUCCAGCCAUGCCAGCAUGCCAAUAUAGUUUACAGCUCGCUGAGAGGCGGGCCGCACCUGACAGAUGCCACUUGGGAGCAUAAUCCCAGAGGGCUGAAAAGAUCCUCCACAUGACGGGAAGCCAGUGAAGCAGGAGGAGACUGGAAUACCAAAUGACAAAUCGCAACGUUAAAUCAAAUAUAUAUCUCUUCCUUUCUUUUCAUUAGAGCCAAAUGCAAGGAAAUUAAAGCAUUUCAACAGAGCAACUGUAAAAUAACGAGGUGCAAUGAUUAGUGGGUCAACAAAAAUAAUAAUCAGGGACUACUGUGAUGAUGGAUGAAUUUUCUGAAUUAUUUCUUGAGCAAAACACGAAAUAUUUGCUGGUUUUAGAUACUCAAGUGUUCAGUUUGUCUGGGUCCCUUUGUCUUGUAUGAUUGUAAACUGAAUAUCUGAAUGUUGUGGACAAAAAGCUCUUGGGAAUUUUGGUCUAUGUGUAUUAGUAAUAUUAAUAUUAUUGGCAGUAGGAGUAUCAGAUGCAGGAAUAGAAAUAGAUUUAAUAUAUUUUAACAGUUUAAUAACACAGGUAUUUUUUGACAACAGCACACUCCUUUCCAGACUCAAUAAAAUUAUAUCUUUCAGGAGAACUGCUUGGCAGAAUUGUCCUUGAUCCUUAUUAUAAGAACAGGAGCAUGUAAGCGGUCUCAGGCCUCCUGCAGCAGGCCCGCAGCUGCAGGUUUAUGGCGCCCACAUCAUAUUUCAUUACAUUAUUAAAACGUUAUCAUGAACAACAUAUAUAUUUCUAACAUUUAUGAUAGGAUUACAGUAGUUUUUCUAGGAGGGGUUAAAUCUCUCCCUCUUUCUCUCGUGCUCUCCCUCAGCUUUGGUGAAACAAACAAAAGGGGCGCUUUGAAUGGCACGUGCUCCGGGCGUCAGUCACCUGUUUCCUAGCAACGGGCACAACAGAAAAGCACCUGUGGCUCUGAAUAGGAGGCGGUGGAGCCCUUAGUUUGACAAAAACCAGGGAGAAUUUUUUUAAAAUAUAUAGUCCUUUCCCCACAGAUAAUUAUAUCUAUAAAUUAUAUACCCUAUUUCUGAUUUGGUAAUGAGCUUUAAAGGCUACUUGAGUGUUUGUAGUUAUGCUCCUAAA